AUGAAAUUUAUUCCCAAUUUGAAGUGGCAGUGUAUACAAAGGUAACAGAGCUUGUGAUAAUUUACAGAAAUAUUUGCUACAGCAUGCACAUUAUGACGUGUUUCAAACAUAUACAUAUUAAAUUCAUGCUGAAUAAAUAAUCCCCCCCUUCAACGUGAAUAGGAGUAAUUUCAUCUCUGCACCUAAUUGGACCUCAGAAUUAAUAGCUGGUCUGUGCAAACCAUGAUCUGAAUGUAGCCGUGGAGUGUUCUUACCUAUGAAUGCAACGGAAGGUUACCAGCACACGUGGCCACUUGCUUCCUCUCGUGUUUAUCUUGACAGCAGAGACUUUGGAAUUGUAUAUUAUACAGUUUUUAAGCAGAAUGUUUUAGAAAGUCUGGAAGUUACAAAAGUACUUCUGUAAACACUAUAUGAAUUAAAUUUCCAUAACAAACACGCAAGUUAUUCUUAUCCAGGAAUAUAUUUUUUUAUCUCA
rnacentral:lncRNA from 1 species